AUGCUCCCAGCGUGGAAUGCUUUGCAUAUCCCGAGCCCAGCGCGUUGUCUGCUGUGGUUUCAGCAUCAGAAGGGGGGAGAGUUUCAUUCUAUAACAGAACUUCAGGACUGCAGCUGUUGCCAUCCUGGAGUCUAUACAGCAAAUCCCAGCUCCGUGAACAUGGGACACAGCUGUAAAAGCUGGGAGAAGCAGCAGGAGUGGCUGUACAGAGAAUCCCAAAGAGAGCGUGCCUGGGGACUUCACACCCCCACCCAGGAUCUGCUUACAGCAUCACGUCUGGAAUGGAUUCUGCUUACCCUGACAUUUCAUUCCUGUGAGUGUGUAGAGGAGAUGUUCAGCUGCAAAAGGCAGAAGUGUCAGGAAGCAUCUGUCUAAACAUUUUGUCACCAGGGAGAAGUGAAGAGUGACAGAAAUCAGACUCCUAGCCAAGUUCUACUUCAAAAUCCAUGAGUAGUUAAGAGAGAG
rnacentral:lncRNA from 1 species